rnacentral:lncRNA from 1 species
UCUUUCCAAAAAUGCUUUGCAUGAACACUCAGAAUUACCUGUGAUGUAAAUUAUUAUAAAACAGAUGACACAAUUGCACAACCAUACACCUAUGUCGAUUGGAGCCAACUGCCAGAGGAACUACUGGAGUUGAACAGAUAUAAUUAGGUUCAGAGCAGUAUGUUCGUCAUGGGGCUUGGUUGCCUCCAAUGCAAGAUCUCAACUAUUCAAGCCUCUCAGUCCAAUGCUGCUGUUGCCUUCUAACAAAGAUGAUGAAGUUCACCACCUCUUCGACUUCUCCGUGAACAAGGCUUUUUGGAUUCCACUCCCGGAGGUUUACGGUAAGUGGUGUUGCCAUUCGUGGAAUGGAUGGUUAGUAACAAUAACGUGUUCUCCUCCCUACCCAAUAGAGUUCUUUAAUCCUAUGUCGAGGGCACAAAUCCAGUUGCCUCUCCCAGAGACGUUUCAAGAUCCUCCAGCUGAUGUAGAUGAUGCACCAAUUGAGAGCUUCAUAUACAAAGCCAUACCUUCUUCAACUCCUUCAGAUCCCAAUUGUGUUACCAUGAAGAAAGUUGGCAUUCUGUAAAUCCAAGGGUUACAAAGCGAGUACAAUAAUUGUGAUGAUAUCAUAUAUUACAAGAACUAUUUUAUUACUGUUGGGCCUUUGGGUGUAUUUCAAGUAGGGAUGGCAACAGGGCGGGUUUUUUCGGGUGCCCGUCCCGUCUUGCCCCUAAUGGUACGGGGUUUAAAUUUAAUAAACGGGUUUGGAACGGGUAUGUAAUUUUUUUUAAAACCCGGAGCGGAUUCAGGUAUUGCCUCAUCUUGCCCGGUCCUGCCCCGAUUAUAUAUAAAAUUAAAAUUAGUUUAAAUUUUAAAAUAAUUUAAUUUAAAAUUUUAUUUUACUAUUUUAAUAUAUAGAUAAUAAAAAAAAUUUAAUAAAAUAAGUUAUAAAAAAUAUAAUAAUUUUAUUAUUUAUAAAAUAUAUUUAUUUUAAUGUAAUUAAAAAAUUUUAAAGUAAUAAUAAAAAAAUAAAAAUAAAAAAGCUAAAUGGGGCGGGGCGGGACGGGUAUGGGAAAUUCUCAUACCCCGUCCCGCCCCGUUUAAUUUUUAAAACGGGAUGGGGAUGAUAAUUAUUUUUAAUAAACGGGGCAGGGUUGGGAUGGGGACGACCCGUCUCGAACCCGCCCCAUUGUCAUUCCUAAUUUCAAUUUGACAUUGGUCCUGUGCAUAAGGUCAUAACGCUUGCACCACCUAUUGUGAUGGGAUGCGUCAAAUCGAAAGUAUUUGUUGAUCUAGAGAUCAUUUACUAGUCCUAUGAUACUUGGAUUGGGAAGACGAGAAUGAGAACAACUCUCUUCACUACACACCAAAAUUUGAGGUAUUCAAAUUAUAUUUAAAAAAUUUGGUAUGGAAUGAAUUAAAUAGCUUGGGUGAUAACGCAUUAUUCAUGGGUCAUAACCAAACUAUUUUAAUAUCUACAAAAGACUAUGAUGAAUUUAAACCAUACUGUAUCUUCUUUGUUGAUGAUUAUAGAGAUUAUUUUGAAAAAACUAUCAGAUGCCAUGAUGUAGGAGUUUUUAACCUAAAGGCUCAUGUGUUGUGAACCGAUGUUUCAGUUUAGUCAUAUAUGGUUAUCUCCAAAUACUAUUGUACUUGCGCCUCUAUUAACAUGAAUCAAUGAACUUUUAUGAGAUUAGCAACACAAUAGUAAUAAUAUUAAUUCAUCUACAUAAUGAUCCUAUUAACUUCUAAACAUCUAGAUUAUGCCAAAAAAUGAUAUAUCAAAGUAACAUAAUUAUAAUUAUUAAUAUAUUAUAAUUAUGGUGAUAUUAUAUAUGACAAGAACCAUUUUUAUGUUUGCACCAUCCUUUUGAUGGCAUGCAUGAAGCAAAAAAUAUUCAUUGGAGUCAUUCUGAGAUCUUUUACUAAUAUUAAGAUACUUGGAUUGGGAAGAUGAGAUGAUGAGAAUGAGGGUGAUUCUCCAACUUGUCAAAGGGAAAUGAAAGGAAAUUCAAAAGUGAUGCCAUCAGAUAUUUAUGAGCGCCUCUAACAUAUGGUCCAGAAUAAUUCUUACCAUUCCACCAUCCCAUCCUAAUUGCUCUGAUCGAAGCAUUCAAGAUGCCUGAAUGUAAGUUUAGAAAAUGACCCAAUGAGUUGUUAAUUGUAAAAUGUAAUUAUUCUGAAAUAUUUAAAUCAAACUGAUCAGACUCAGACUUGUAACUUGUUUUUGUCGAGCAAAUAAAAUCUCUUUCAUUGUGUUAAAAUUCUAUCAAAGAAAUGAUCACUCGACAAUAAUUGACCUUAAGUAUGUGGUGGGUGGGCUAAAAUCUUGCUGAAAUUGAAAAACACCCAACGAUGAUGUGAUUCGCAUUGAUUACCCCAAGGAUCACUCACCAAGUUGGCCCUCCACCAGUCCACUUUUACCAGGCAGCCGCCUAGUCUUUGGCGUUUCCUUGUGAGUCCGUGACAACAACAUUUCAAUCAAUAACACGACGUCGUAUCAUUGGUCGCCAACCCACAACGGUCCAAAACGGCUCUGUGGAAAGGCGUGUAGGUGUAGGUUGUAGCCAACAUGAAGCCGCCAGGAUGAAAGUUAAAGGAUCGAGAGGAGACAGUCCAUCAAAACUAAGUCGCCGCCUUGACCAUCGGAUGUUUUAAUUUUCCAGGGUGUGUUUGUUAAAAUAAAAUUUGAAAUAAUGUAGUCGUUAUCUCGUCGGCGGAGCCUGCACGCAGUACCGUUAACGGUGAUCAAGGAAUAUCACCAACCGUCGUUGUAUCGUUUCAUUUCAUUGCAAACUCCCUCUCUCUCCCUAAAACCCACUUUCUCUCUAGAUUCGUGGUUCAAAAGUUCCUGACUGGAGCAAUUAAGAUAUCUUUGCGCCUGGGUCCCAUUUGGAUUCCAUUUUCGGAUGGAAAAACCCAAAUUUUCCAGAAAAUUACGUCUACAAUCUUUCCCAGGUAAGGAAGCAAGUUGCUUUCGCUUCAUUUUUCAUUUACCCACUUCCCCUCACUGCUCUUUCUUUUCGUCGCUCAUAGGAUUCUGUUUUUCGUCCUCCUUUAUCUGAAAAUUUUAUAUAAGAUUUUUAAUUAUACUUUUGUUAGGCACAUUUUGACCUUAGUUCCUGACAGUGGAUCUAUGGCUUGGAGGUAUCUGGGUAGCCUUUUUGGUUCCCGUUGGAAUUUUUCGAGUGUUUUUCAGGUAAGUUUGUUUUCUUGUUAAUGUUUCUAAUUAUUAGUAUCUUCAUUGUAAUUUUUUUUUUUCCAAACUUUUAGGAUACAGGGCUACCAUGGAAUGAUGAUUUAAAAAUUAAAAAUAAAAAUUCAUCACUUGCUUUUCCUUCCCCAAAGAUGCUGGAUUAUAAUUGGUGGGGUUUGGUUAGUUCUGAUGUGAUACCAGUUUGUUUAAGAUUUUACUUUGUGAUUGUAGAAAAUAUGUCUAGAAGCCUUUUCCAAAAAUUUAGUUCUUGUGUUCAUGACCAGUCACCAGAUAGCAUGAAAUUACUGAAUCAUAUGUUGAAGGGAUUGAGAAAUUGGGAUCUCUGGAAAUGUUGUAAUUCUUGUGUCAUAUAUCCUAAUCCAUAUUUUACACAUGAAAACAUGUUGGACUGAGGGUUGUUUUUCACUGGUUAAACAUUGGUUAAUUGUGUGCUAUAUGAAUGGGAUUUGGUUUAGAUUUCCAAAUCCUGCAAACACAAGACCAAACAAUUCAUAUGACAGUUAAGUGAAUCAUGGCACCCAUAUAUGAAAAAGAUUAUGUGCAUGUGUAUGCUGGGGAUUAUGAGUUCUAAUUUGAUUUCUUUAGCCCAUGUUGAGAAAAGAAUGCAUAUCACAUUUCUGGACAUCUACUUUUUUCCUCAGUGACUUAUUAUUAUUUGCAAUUGAAGUUUAGAUUUCAUGAUGUUCAAGGUAUGGAGCUAUUUUCUUGACAUUUACAUGAGAUUUCAUGGAAGCACCAGUAGUUCUGCAUAUUUCUGGUGGGAGUAUGAGUUUUAGUUUCAUUAGUCAUUUCACGUUGGGAAAAGAAAGCCUAUCAUAUUUGGGCAUGGGAUUAGUUUCUUGAGAAAUGGAUUUUUUGAAGUAACAUUUGAGAAUUUUCCAUUAUCUGCUGUAGAUGCUGGUGUGCCAUGGUGCCUGUCCACUGCCAUGCAGAGUAAAGAAGCAUGAUACUAGCUAUUUCUAAUCCGAAGCAUCUAAAUUUUCUUUUAAAAAAAAUAGAAGAAGAAAAGUUAAGAAAAGAAGAGAAAUAUUUCAACAGAUAUGCUAUUCUGUUGAGAUCUGUAUGUGAAGACCUAUUUAUAAUGGUUCCAUUUGUUGCAAUUGAAACUCUCCUAGAAGAAAAAAAGAUGACAGUAUAACAAUACUUCAAAUGGUAGGCAUUUAAUGUAUUUCUUAUCUUUCUCUUGUUCUUUUUUUUUCCGAUAGUAAUAUGAUGUGUUUCUUUGUCUCCAUGCUGAACAAAAAUUGAAGGAAACUACUUCAAUCUGAACUUUUCUAAGAAAAUUAUCCUCUAGAUUGACAAAGACCAUGACACACUUUGGAAAAACUGUGUAUCUAUCUGCCAUCAUAUUAUCUUAAAUAGCAGCUUGUGUAAUGAGGUAACCAGAUGGAACAUGAGGUUUCUCUGAAGAAAUCAUUUUUACUGCACCAAAUGAAGCCACUGGUCAUGCAACAGUUAAACAUUAAAAGAAAAAAAAAAAUAGUCUUAAGGAUACUUGUAACUACCUGCUAUAACUAAAUGUCUCAUUGUGGUUUGCCCUUACAUUGGAUUGUGCCUUUUUGGUGGAAGCCAGUGUUUAAUUUGAAACUUCAUUCACCAAUAUGUCUAAUUUUUCUUCUGUCUGCUCUAGCAGGGCACAAUAAGGGAGGUUGAACCUGGUUGUCACACUAUCAAAUCUCAUGGACUCCAAGUUGCAAAAGAUCACAAGCAUGAUUGGCUUAUAUUGCUGCUUCUUGUAAUGAUAGCGAUCAUUCUACUUGUCAUUCAUCCAUUUUACCGCUUUGUGGGAAAAGAUAUGAUGGAUGACCUUAAAUAUCCUUUGAAAGAUAACACAGUACCUGUGUGGGCUAUUCCAGUAUGUUUUCCUUUAUAUAGCAUGUUAAUCUUUUAACUGGGUGUCUGAAAACCAAGUGAAACUUGAAAAUAAUUCCAUUUGGACUGACUCUGACAUUGCAUUUGCUCAAUUUUAUUCUAUAUUACCCGAAUAUUUGAAAUUACUUAUUUCACUUGUAUAUAAGACUAAUUUUGUGUUUUUAACGAAUUAACAUAAUGACAGGAUUUACUGAUUGACUUCAUUUCACUUCCUUUUGGUAAUAAUUCCAUUUGAAAGACCAGAUUUUUGCCUUCAAAUGCUAUAGAAAUCAAAAUGAAACAAACUUCCAUUUUUUGUCCUGCUACCUUAGUUUUAUCUGCGUUAAUUUGCUCAAGCAAGUGGAACUAACCAAGACUUCUCUCCCUUGAUUAUCAGAUCUAUGCUGUUCUGUUGCCGAUUGUCAUUUUUAUUCUAUUCUAUCUUCGUAGGAGGGAUGUAUAUGAUCUGCACCACAGCAUACUAGGUACUAUUAUAUAUAUAAAACCCCAAAGGGGAUAAUUUUUUUUGCUCCUAUUUAAAGGAAGUGCCUAUGAAGGUAAAUCUGCUGACUGAUAUGAAUUCACGAAAGCAGGCCUCUUUUUUUCUAUGCUGAUCACUGCGGUUAUUACGGAAGCAAUAAAAGAUGCAGUUGGACGGCCUCGGCCAGACUUCUUUUGGCGCUGCUUUCCUGAUGGAAAAGAUGUAUGUCAAUAUCUAUUUCUUAACCCUAGUUUCUUUUCAUGCCUUGUUACUGUGAGAGGUGAAUAUUUUUUUCCUCAUAAUAGUUUGUGCAGUUGAUCUUCAAAAAUUACCAGAUUUUUGUCUUUUAGAAUCCUAAUAUCCAUGAAUAUUUGUGAAAGUUGGUCAAUUCAAAUACAGGGCUCAAGAUUUAGUACUGUAAAUUGUUAAGAUAAUCGAACUUAUUCUGCCUAAUUUUUCACUGAAUUGAUUUAAAUGUCCUGAUCAAAUCUUGUCAUGGUUGCUGGAGUUCCAACUUUUUCCUUAAUUUUAAGUUAUUGUCCUAAAAUGUUGGAAUUUACUGAUCAAAACUAACAUGAUUGUUGGACUUCCUGCCUUUUUCCUUAAUUUUAAUGCAUCAUUCCAAAAAAUUGGAAUUUGAUGCUGUCCAGAACCGACUUUGCUGGAUUUUCAACCUUUUUUCCUUCAUUUAAUGUACCAUUCCAAUAAAAUUUAAUAUUAGUUGCUGAUUAAAAUUGAUUCUCAAAAUUUGUCACUAUGGUUUUAUGUUAAUUUGCAUUUUUAGAUUCUUGAUUGCUGAUUCAUUUUAUUUCUCAACCCCUCUUCAGGUGUAUGAUCAGUGGGGAGAUGUUAUAUGCCAUGGAAAGGAUAGCGUUAUAAGGGAGGGACAUAAGAGCUUCCCAAGUGGUCACACUUCGUGUAAGCUACAGUUCCUGCUAUGUGCUUAAUGUUUAGCUUCGAAUAAUAUUAGCAGAAGUUUUAAUGGACAAUAAAAGUCAAUUGAUGGAUCAAAAAUAGAAGAAAAAUACCUGAUGCUGUUACUUUUGUACUAUUCUGGUUUACAUUUAGGAAGCACUCUCCUACAUUUAAGAGCAAACACUAAAAAAAUUUUCUCUUGGAAUCAAGAAAAAUACUUCCAAUGGGAUGACUAUACAAUGCCUUCAUUUUCAAUUGUUUUUUAUUUGAGUUAGCUGCUAGUGCUGCUGUAGUGGUGUCUUCAAUGAUGGAACUCAAACUUGAAAGAGACUUCUGAUUCAUAGAAAGAAAAUGCAGAUUGAAGUGUGCUCUGUCUUUUUAGUUUACCAAAUGAAUAGUACAUGUGUUUUUCUCGUAUCUGAUGAAAUAUGAUUGCUCUGCAGGGUCCUUUGCAGGCCUGGGUUUCCUAUCAUUGUACUUAUCAGGAAAGAUUCAAGCAUUUGACCGCAAAGGGCAUGUUGCAAAACUAUGCAUUGUUUUCCUCCCUCUACUUGCUGCAUCUCUUGUUGGAGUUUCUCGGGUGGAUGACUAUUGGCACCAUUGGCAAGAUGUGUUUGCUGGAGGUCUUCUAGGUUUGUUUUAGUGCAGGCUGUCCUUUAGUCAAGUAAACUGUAAUGCUUUUUCAUUGUUUGAUCUCACCGGAUUUAUGUGAUUAUUUUUUUUCAGGGCUUGUUGUUGCAUUUUUUUGCUAUCUGCAGUUCUUUCCUCCUCCAUAUGAUAAUAAUGGUAAAAAUCUUCAUUUUCUAAUUUUCUCAUCUUCACUUGACUUCUGUUGCCCGUUGUCAAUACAUCCUUGUGAUAUCUGCCUUAAAAGAUUUCCAGAAUUUAUUUAUUUAUUUUCUUUUUCAGAUCAUUGAAUUACAUUUUAUUAACUAUGGUUUGUAAAAAAUAUGUUUCUUUUAAGAGCCAUUUCGGUUGUAUGUCAAAAGUCCAUCAACAAGAAAAUUAGGCCUUCUGUUUUGUGGGGGGCAUUUUCUGGAAAUGGGAAAGUAGAAAAUGUGAAUAUGUUGGCACUAUGGUAGAGAACAGGUUGAACCCAAUUUUGAUUAACCUUAUGGGAGGUUUAUUUCCAGGGGUAGUGAAAAGAAGACCUAAAUAGAAGGAUUUAUUUGUGCAAAUUUCAUAAAGUGGGACAAGAGGGGUCUAGCUCCCCAUUUUGUUUAAUAAGUAGGAAAAUAAAAUUAAUUUGAUAAAAGAGAUUGUUGCUCAUCCAAACAAUCACUUUGGCAUCUGGAUAUCCUAAGAAAAUUGAAUCAGUUCAUUGUCCAUCACACAGUGGUUUACAGCACAACAUAGAUGUUUUUACAUUUAGGAUCAACUAAAUCACCAGAUAAGAUAAUAAUGGAACCAAAAAAGAAAAUCCAUGAACUUCAGAAGCAGGCCCAAAAAUUUUUGGUUCUGUUUGCUUCACUAUUUCUUAAUGUUCUAUUUAUGGGGUAUAGUUGUCAAGAAUUAAUGAUUAGUUGAUUGGUCUUAAAACCUCUGGCUUAGCCAGCUACUAAAACCUUGAUAUGUGUAAAUCCAACUUAUUUUUCCUUGUUCCUUUAUUUUUCAGGGUGUUUAUGUGAAUUAGAAGGCAGAUAUAUGCUUAGGAAUUUGUAUGAAUGUGGUCUAUGUUAAUGUUUAUCACUGUUACAAGCUCAGAAGUUGAGUCAUUCUGCAAGGCGGAUUAUUAAGAAUUUUAAAAAUUAAUCAAGAAAGUAAGCAGGGGACCAUAUCAUAUGUGGAAUUUAUAAAGAGAAUCAUCAAGAUAGAAUUUGAGUGCUGGAAAGCAAGGGGGAUGCUAGAUAGAAGCUUAAGUUUUCAUUAUAGGUAGUCUUGACAACUGAAUUCUAUGCAGUAAAUUUGGCUUCAUCAAUCGUAUAGAUUUUGAGUAACGUGCUCUUCUGCUCUGCUUUAUUGCCAGUGAUUUGACUGAUAUUCCAUUAAUGAGGUACUUGUGUAUUGAUUUUGGAUAAAAUCACUUGCUGAUUUUCUGUACACAGGAUCGGGCCCCUAUGCAUACUUCAAAAUGUUAGAGGGGUUGAGGGCCAACAGACAAGCAGCCGAUUCUGUGAAUGUGCAAGAUGCGCAAGGAAUGGAGGUUGUUUUACCUCAGCAACCUUCACGAAACAACAACGGGUUUAUGCCAUUAUCUCUUGACCAUGAUGCUACUGAUUCUUUGGAUCAAAUGGAAGCUGGGAGGAGGUAAUGUCAUUUGUCUUGCACUUGUUUGGGUCCAUGUCCCCUGUAAUUAACUUAGGCUUGUAUUAUGUAACCAACAAUCUCCUGCAUUCACUGAAUCUUUACUUUCUGCACAUUCACUAGUAAUGUUAAGAGGAACAAUCUUUUUUCUUUCUUUCCAAUAAUGCUUUGCAUAAACACUCAGAAUUACCUGUGAUGUAAAUUAUUAUAAAACAGAUGACACAAUUGCACAACCAUACACUUAUGUCGAUUGCCGCCAACUGCCAGAGGAACCACAGGAGUUGAUCUUCAGAUAUAAUUAGGUUCAGAGCAGUAUGUUCGUCAUGGGGCUUGGUUGCUUCCUUUGCAAGAUCUCAACUCCUCAAGCCUCUCAGUCCAACGCUGCUAUUGCCUUCUAACAAAGAUGAUGAAGUUCACCACCUCUUUGACUUCUCCGAGAACAAGGCUCUUAGGAUUCCACUCCCGGAGGUUUACGGUAAGUGGUGUUGCCAUUCGUGGAAUGGAUGAUUAGUAACAAUAACGUGUUCUCCUCCCUAACCAAUAGAGUUCUUUAAUCCUAUGUCGAGGGCACAAAUCCAGUUGCCUCUCCCAGAGACGUUUCAAGAUCCUCCAGCUGAUGUAGGUGAUGCACCAAUUAAGAGCUUCAUAUACAAAGCCAUACCUUCUUCAACUCCUUUAGAUCCCAAUUGUGUUACCAUGAAGAAAGUUGGCAUUCUGUAAAUCCAAGGGUUACAAAGCGAGUACAAUAAUUGUGAUGAUAUCAUAUAUUACGAGAACUAUUUUAUUACUGUUGGGCCCUUGGGUGUAUUUCAAUGUGACAUUGGUCCUGUGCAUAUAAGGUCAUACCGCUUGCACCACCCGUUGUGAUGGGAUGCGUGAACCGAAAGUAUUUGUUGGAGUGAUCUAGAGAUCUUUUACUAGUCGUACGAUACUUGGAUUGGAAAAAUGAGAAUGAGAAUAACUCUCUUCACUACACACCAAAAUUUGAGGUAUUCAAAUUAGAUUUCAAAAAUUUUUCAUGGGUCAUAACCAAGCUAUUUUAAUAUCUACAAAAGACUUCGAGGAAUUUAAAUCCAUAUCUACUUUGUUGAUGAUGAUAGAGAGAAGCUUAUUUUGAAAAAGCUGCUGGAAGCCAUGAUAUAGGAAUUUUUAGCCUAAAGGCUCAUGUUUGUGGAUCGAUGUU